rnacentral:lncRNA from 1 species
GAUUUGUGAGGAUGAAGUCGAGCAUCGAUCGCAGUUAGGCGAAGAGACGGACGACGUUGGGUGGAGCCGAAUGAAAAAGGAUAGAUACCGGGCCAAGGCCUGGGUUUGGGAGUCCAAAAGGACGCUGUGGUUGUCAGAGAUGGCCGAGAGUUGACUCCCUUGUGGAUAAGCAGGUCUCGUUCUGGAUCGUCAUCGCCAUCCUUUUCCAGCAAUGGCAUCGCUCAUGAAAGCAAGUCUGGGAAAACGUAAUUGCGAUCGAGCUAAGAUAGGUGCGGGAACAUUUCUUACUGGGGUGCUGGAGCUACCACUCUCA